GGUCCAGUAUGAACGGGCUGGACCUCUCGGGGUUACAGCCUUGCUGAAUUAUUCACCCUUGUCUUUUGCGUACUUCUUGUUUCCUUGGUGGGUUCGCCCACCACUAGGACAAACAUAAACCUUUUGUAAUUGCAAUCAGCGUCAGUAACAAAUUAAUAAUUACAACUUUCAACAACGGAUCUCUUGGUUCUGGCAUCGAUGAAGAACGCAGCGAAAUGCGAUAAGUAGUGUGAAUUGCAGAAUUCAGUGAAUCAUCGAAUCUUUGAACGCACAUUGCGCCCUUUGGUAUUCCAAAGGGCAUGCCUGUUCGAGCGUCAUUUGUACCCUCAAGCUUUGCUUGGUGUUGGGCGUCUUGUCUCUAGCUUUGCUGGAGACUCGCCUUAAAGUAAUUGGCAGCCGGCCUACUGGUUUCGGAGCGCAGCACAAGUCGCACUCUCUAUCAGCAAAGGUCUAGCAUCCAUUAAGCCUUUUUUUCAACUUUUGACCUCGGAUCAGGUAGGGAUACCCGCUGAACUUAAGCAUAUCUAA
rnacentral:rRNA from 1 species